ensembl:lncRNA
ACAGUGGUAUAUUAUUCAUUCUCUAGUUAACACUGAGUACUGGGGUGUUUUCCAGACAAAGAUAUUUAGUGUAGCAGUAUUUAGUUGUGUGAAAUGUGAGAAAUAGGCUGUGAAAAUAUUUGGGCACCCUAAUAUUUUUUUUGUUUUGAAUACCUCUAACUUCCCAAUACUGAAUAAUGGCAAUACAUAAUUAGUCUGAUUAGCUCGUUAAGCCUUCAAUUCCAUAGAAAGGUGCAUCCAAUCAUUAGAAAAGAUGUUUGAUUCAAUUGCAAGUUGUGCUUCUCUUCGAUGCUCCUAAUGGGGGCCUCAAAACAACUGUCUAAUGAUCUGAAAACAAAGACUGUUCAGCACUGUGGUUUAGGGGAAGGCUUCAAAAAGUUAUCCCAGAGAUUUCAGUUGUCAGUUUCCACUGUGACAUUUUUACAGCAUUUCACAGUAAAUUGCAAUAACCUUUACCGUCAGUUGCUGCCAGUAAGGCAUGCUGAGUAAGGCAUGCACCUGUAGGUGAGGUGAUCUGGGUUACAGGUAAGAGAACAACCUGGAGAAACAUCAGCCAGUUAGCAAAUCCAUCUGCUUCUGUCAAAGGACUGGGAAAGAGCUUUUCUUUCUGACGGGUUUCCAGUAGUCAUCUGCAACUUCUCAUAACUAACUGAACAUGGACACAUCAGAGAUAUACAGAGGUAUACACUUAACAGAGACUCCCACAAGUAUGCAGUACCAACAUAUCAGAUAUUAGACAGUCUGAAUGUUUGGGACAAAGUAUAACAGUUACCAGUGUAGUUGAAGGGUCUGAAGAGUGGGUGGUGGUUUAUUACAGUUACCAGUGUAGGCAAAGUUGAAGGGUCUGAAGAGUGGGUGGUGGUUUAUUACAGUUACCAGUGUAGGCAAAGUUGAAGGGUCUGAAGAGUGGGUGGUGGUUUAUUACAGUUACCAGUGUAGGCAAAGUUGAAGGGUCUGAAGAGUGGGUGGUGGUUUAUUACAGUUACCAGUGUAGGCAAAGUUGAAGGGUCUGAAGAGUGGAUGGUGGUGUCUAACAGUUACCAGUGUAGGCAAAGUUGAAGGGUCUGAAGAGUGGGUGGUGGUGUAUAACAGUUACCAGUGUAGGCAAAGUUGAAGGAUCUGAAGAAUGGGUGGUGGUGUCUAACAGUUACCAGUGUAGGCAAAGUUGAAGGG